rnacentral:lncRNA from 1 species
CCCCCCCCCUUGGAGCAAUAACCCUUAAACUCAAUCCAAUGCUUUCCUAUGUAAUAUUGAACCUUGUAGUACGAUUUCAGAGAGAUCCAUACACUUAACCACAAGUUAUUGUCAUGAUUGUUUGGAAACUAGAAACAUGCUUCUUUUUGGCCCUUAAUUCCUACAUAUUUUGGGCAAUUAACCCAAAACUUAAUCCCAGCCUCCCCUUUGUUAUAUGGUACAUUGUGAUACAAUUUCAGAGAGAUCCAUGCAAUUACACACAAGGUAUUGUCUGGAAACUAGAAAAAUGCUUGUUUUGGCCCCUUUUUGGCCCUUAAUUCCUUAACUUUGGCCCCAUAACCCCUUAAAUGAAUCCAAACCUUCUACUUGUGAUUUUAAACAUUGCAGUAUACUUUCAGAGCAAUUGAAAUACUGGUAAACAAGUUAUUAUCCUGAAACUAGAAAAAUGCUUGUUUUGGCCCUUUUUGGGCCCCUUAUUCCUAAACGGUUUGGACCAUCAUCCCCAAAAUAAAUCCUCACC